GCAUUUGUUUGUGUUCGUGUUAAUAUGGCAGAAGAAGAAGUUACUGAUCAAACGGAGCCUCAAGAAGAUAGACUAUCUGCUGAAACGGAGGAUGAUAUAAAGCUUACAAGGAGGAAAAAACUGACUCUGUUUCUGUCCGUCUACUGGCGCGGUCUACUAUGUCUGUUGACUCCAAUCAUAUUACUUCUUAUGCUGCUACCGUUUCCACCACAGAAAUAUCAAUGGGCUGGUUAUACUCUAUGUUUGAUGGCUGUAUUUUGGGUUACGGAAUGCAUACCAUUGACAAUUACAUCUUUUCUUCCUAUCGUUAUCUUUCCUUUAACUGGUAUUAUGGACACACGAACCACUUGUCUGUGUUACAUAAAUGACACUGUUCUAAUGUUCUGCGGAAGUAUGAUCUUAGCACAAGCUGUGGAACAGUCAGGGUUGCAUCAAAGACUAGCUUUGCAUACUAUUAGCCUCAUCGGAUAUUCGCACUAUAGACUGCUGUUUGCGAUGUCAAUCACGACAAUGUUCAUUUCGAUGUGGAUUACUAAUACCGCAGCGUCAUCUAUGAUGGUUCCCAUUAUUUUCGCUCUGUUGGAUGUCUUCGAAAAACAAAAUCUUAUACAAGUUUACGAAUUGGACAGCGACGGUGUACAAGUUGCCUCAGAUAUAACUACUUGUUAUUUUUGCGCUGCGUCCUUUUCAGCAACUAUUGGAGGAAUUGGUACUUUAGUGGGCACUGCAACUAAUUUAGUAUUCAAAGGACUCUUCGAAAGGGCAUACCCCUCGGCACCCGAGUAUUUGUCAUUUCCGAAGUUCUCCGCAUUUUCCAUUCCAUAUAUGCUUGUAUUGGAAGCAGGACUUUACUUUUACAUGAUAUUCAUGUAUCUGGGAUUUUUAAGACCUAAAACUAAGGCAGCUCAGAGCACGCAAAUACCCGAAUCAGGAGUGGAAGCUGCUAGGAAUACCGUUGAAGAAACACUGAAAAAAAUGGGGAAAAUAACCUUUUGGGAAAUUAUGGUAAUAAUAUUAUUCAGUGGUGUAGUUGUAAUGUUUUUCUCACGUGCUCCACAAAUAUUCUACGGGUGGGGAGACUAUAUUUCUGAUUACUACGGUCUGAAUAACAAUAAAUUUGUUCAAGACUCUGCCGCGGCGUUCUUAGUUUGCUUUUUAAUGCUUUUAUUGCCAUCUAAUUUGGACUUUUUUCGCAACUUCUACGUUAGCGAAGACGAGCUGCCUAAUAAGCCAGUGCCGUCAGUUUUGGAUUGGACAGUAAUGAAUAAAAACAUGCCAUACAGUUUUAUGUUCCUCCUGGGUGGUGGAUUUGCGCUCUCGGAAGCUGCUAAAAAGGAAUAUUCAGAUCUGAAUGGGUACAUCGGAAAUGCACUCAGACAUCUCAACAUUUUUCCGAAUUACUUUAUCAUAUUGCUGAUAAUCAUAUUUACAGUCUUUAUAACAAACUUUGUGUCAAAUGUCAGUGUAUGUAAUAUUGUCACGCCUAUAGUGAUGCAAUUGGUAUGUUAAUUCAAAAUUUUGAUAUUGUUCUCACGAUUCAAUUUAUAAGAAACUCGCUCCGGUUGUGACAACAUUUUUGCAUUCCUCGCUUUCUCGGGGAUCAAAAUUAAGCGCUCGGUUAAAAAACAACUUUGUACUUUUGUAUAACAAAUAAAUUUUUCUAAGCAGUGAAGUUCUGGUAGGCCAGAUUUUGACGUCUUUAAUAUCUAAAAAUCUAUUUAGUCUUCAACUUGAAAGAUCUUUUGUAAACUUGUAUUAUGUUUAUAGUUUGCAAAUAAUGCAGCAAAAUUAUAUUUUUUACAGGGCAAAGAAAUAAACAUUCACCCUCUUUGGUAUAACAUUGCCUCCGGUAUUUCGGCUUCUUUUUGUUUUUGUUUGCCUGUUGGCACUCCGGGCAAUUUAGUUAUCCAGGGCGCUGCUAAAAUACCUACAAUGAAAAUGGUAAAAGCUGGUGUUGGUCCAACUGUUACGACCAUAUUGUUGACGUGGAUAAGCAUGUGCUUCUGGGCGCCUGUUGUAUGGCCCGAUUUGAACAAAUACACGUCCGAUUUGAGUUGGAUGGAUAAAUAAAAGUAUAAUGCCAACUUGGA
rnacentral:misc_RNA from 1 species